GACGAACGCUGGCGGCGUGCUUAACACAUGCAAGUCGAACGGAAAGGCCUUUUCGGCGGUACUCGAGUGGCGAACGGGUGAGUAACACGUGGGUGAUCUGCCCUGCACUCUGGGAUAAGCCUGGGAAACUGGGUCUAAUACCGGAUAGGACCGCACUUUAGUGUGUGUGGUGGAAAGUUUUUUCGGUGUAGGAUGAGCCCGCGGCCUAUCAGCUUGUUGGUGGGGUAAUGGCCUACCAAGGCGGCGACGGGUAGCCGGACUGAGAGGUUGGUCGGCCACAUUGGGACUGAGAUACGGCCCAGACUCCUACGGGAGGCAGCAGUGGGGAAUAUUGCACAAUGGGCGCAAGCCUGAUGCAGCGACGCCGCGUGGGGGAUGACGGCCUUCGGGUUGUAAACUCCUUUCGCCAGGGACGAAGCGUUUUGUGACGGUACCUGGGGAAGAAGCACCGGCUAACUACGUG
rnacentral:rRNA from 1 species